UACAGAGGUGGCAAGCGUUGUUCGGAAUUACUGGGCGUAAAGGGCGCGUAGGCGGCCUUCUAAGUCAGACGUGAAAUCCCCCGGCUUAACCUGGGAACUGCGUCUGAUACUGGGAGGCUAGAGUAUGGGAGAGGGAUGUGGAAUUCCAGGUGUAGCGGUGAAAUGCGUAGAUAUCUGGAGGAACACCGGUGGCGAAGGCGGCAUCCUGGACCAUUACUGACGCUGAGCCGCGAAAGCCAGGGAGCGAACGGG
rnacentral:rRNA from 1 species